UACAUAGGGGGCUAGCGUUGUCCGGAAUCAUUGGGCGUAAAGCGCGUGUAGGCGGUCCGGUAAGUCCGCUGUGAAAGUCGAGGGCUCAACCCUCGAAUGCCGGUGGAUACUGUCGGGCUUGAGUACGGGAGAGGCGAGUGGAAUUCCUGGUGUAGCGGUGAAAUGCGCAGAUAUCAGGAGGAACACCGAUUGCGAAGGCAGCUCGCUGGAACGUUACUGACGCUGAGACGCGAAAGCGUGGGGAGCAAACAGG
rnacentral:rRNA from 1 species